rnacentral:rRNA from 1 species
GCUGGCGGCAUGCCUAACACAUGCAAGUCGAACUAGACCUUCGGGUAUAGUGGCGCACGGGUGCGUAACGCGUGGGAACCUGCCUUUAGGUUCGGAAUAACUCCCCGAAAGGGGUGCUAAUACCGGAUAAUGUCUUCGGACCAAAGAUUUAUCGCCUUUAGAUGGGCCCGCGUUGGAUUAGCUAGUUGGUGGGGUAAAGGCCUACCAAGGCGGCGAUCCAUAGCUGGUCUGAGAGGAUGAUCAGCCACACUGGGACUGAGACACGGCCCAGACUCCUACGGGAGGCAGCAGUGGGGAAUAUUGGACAAUGGGCGAAAGCCUGAUCCAGCAAUGCCGCGUGAGUGAUGAAGGCCUUAGGGUUGUAAAGCUCUUUUACCAGGGAUGAUAAUGACAGUACCUGGAGAAUAAGCUCCGGCUAAGCCCGU